rnacentral:lncRNA from 1 species
AUUGCAGAGCCGCACAGCUGGGGACCAGAUCCUCACGGUGAGAGGAGCUGCUUCGUGCUCACCCUCAGCCCAAGGAAGACUCCUGGGAGAACAGGCCUCUGACUUGGCUUGGAGGGAGCUGGAGGGAGGGUGAAGCCACACCUCCGUUCCAGCCUGACCCAGACGGAGCGGAAGGGAGAUCCCUGAGACCCUGCAGCUGCCACCAUGAGCUCAGAUGACCCGAGGGACCACUCAGGUAUCCAGCGCCUCUACUCUGUGGUUCCUCCUCGUGACCUAGAACUGAGGGCGGGUCCUCCAGGCUGAGUGAACCUACAGAGGAAUCACCAACCAAGAAGGGGAUCGAUAAGCGUCCUUGAGCUUAUCAGCUUGCCCAGGGGAACCCUGGCAUUAGAGUUAGGUCCCAGGGGCCUGUCCCCACAGCCUCCUUCUUGGCCCUCUCCUCAGGGAGCCACAGCCAAGGGGCUCCCUCGCUCCCCACCCGCCACCCAGCAGAUGGCCCAGAAGUGAGGCCAGGACAGCCCACGGGGAGGGGGGACAGCAGACCUGGUGGGGGUGGCCCCUGAGGCCCGGCGGGGCAGGGAGAGGAGGUCCACCAGCACCCCUGGAGGCCUGUCCUGAACUCUCCCUGGGUCCCAGCCCCCUCCUGCUCCCCGAGCCUGGGGCGUCCCCAGCAGGGGCCGUGUCCUCCAGCGCCCGCCCUGCUGGCACCCCCACAGCUCUGUGAGGGUCAGUGGCCCACUGAGCUGAACCUGGUCUGGCCUUGGCCGCUUCCCACCUGUGUGACCUGGAGCGACUCACCUGACCUCACCUGUGAGAUGCGACCAUUAUUGCCCCGUGUGUCGUUAUGAGGAUCGACGCAUCGUGUGUCUGUGCCCUGGGCCAGUGCCUGUCACGGUGCAGGUCCUCCCUGAGGGCUGUGGCUGAACCCCCCACCUGCACUUGGUUAGUUCCGGGGGGGGGAACCGCCCCCCUCCUGCAGAAAGCCCCUGUCCCCGCCGCCCUGCUGUGUUAGGACCCCUGCCUGGUGCUGCCAUGGCAAAGCACCUGGUUGCCAGGUGGGAUGGUCUCUGGCAGGUGCUGACUCUCCUGAUCUCAGAUACCCCUGCAGAGACCCAGGCCCUCAGUUACUUGCCCCACCCACCCCCACCCCAGUUAAUCAAUAUGCAGAUUUAGGGCUGGGGGUUCCCUCCAUGGGAGCCCUCGUUUCCUUUCUCCCUUAGUGAAACAGGAAAAA